rnacentral:lncRNA from 1 species
GGGGAUAAAACAACACUCUUACCUUGCAGUUAACAUCCUGCUGCCUUAAAUACGCCUUUUAGGGACACAGCUGCUUUCACGCUGAAAGCUUCAGCGCCGAUGGAAUUUCUGUCCCUAUUUUAUAUUUGAUCAAAAUAACCAUGUUGUGUUCUUAAAGGACUCGGUUGUAGACCGUUUAAAUAGUUCAUUUCUUGCUACUGUGGUUAAUUGUACCAUGUUUGCUACUGUAGUUAAUUGCACCAUGAUGUUUUCUACUGUAGUUAAUUGCAUCAUGAUGUUUUGCUACUGUAAUUAAUUGCACCAUGAUGUUUUGUUACUGUAAUUAAUUGCAUCAUGAUGUUUUGCUACUGUAGUUAAUUGCACCAUGAUGUUUUGCUACUGUAAUUAAUUGCACCAUGAUGUUUUGCUACUGUAGUUAAUUGCACCAUGAUGUUUUCUGCUGUAGUUAAUUGCAUCAUGAUGUUUUGCUACUGUAAUUAAUUGCAUCAUGAUGUUUUGCUACUGUAGUUAAUUGCAUCAUGAUGUUUUGUUACUGUAAUUAAUUGCACCAUGAUGUUUUGUUACUGUAAAUAAUUGCACCAUGAUGUUUUGCUACUGUAAUUAAUUGCACCAUGAUGUUUUGUUACUGUAAUUAAUUGCACCAUGAUGUUUGUUACUGUAAUUAAUUGCACCAUGAUGUUUUGCUACUGUAAUUAAUUGCACCAUGAUGUUUUGCUACUGUAGUUAAUUGCACCAUGAUGUUUUGCUACUGUAAUUAAUUGCAUCAUGAUGUUUUGCUACUGUAGUUAAUUGCACCAUGAUGUUUUGCUACUGUAAUUAACUGCACCAUGAUGUUUUGCUACUGUAAUUAAUUGCAUCAUGAUGUUUUGCUACUGUAAUUAACUGCACCAUGAUGUUUUGCUACUGUGGUUAAUUGCACCAUGAUGUUUUGUUACUGUAAUUAAUUGCACCAUGAUGUUUUGCUACUGUAAUUAAUUGCAUCAUGAUGUUUUGCUACUGUAGUUAAUUGCACCAUGAUGUUUUGCUACUGUAAUUAACUACACCAUGAUGUUUUGCUACUGUAAUUAAUUGCAUCAUGAUGUUUUGCUACUGUAAUUAACUGCACCAUGAUGUUUUGCUACUGUGGUUAAUUGCACCAUGAUGUUUUGUUACUGUAAUUAAUUGCACCAUGAUGUUUUGCUACUGUAAUUAAUUGCAUCAUGAUGUUUUGCUACUGUAGUUAAUUGCACCAUGAUGUUUUGCUACUGUAAUUAACUGCACCAUGAUGUUUUGCUACUGUAAUUAAUUGCAUAAUGAUGUUUUGCUACUGUAAUUAACUGCACCAUGAUGUUUUGCUACUGUGGUUAAUUGCACCAUGAUGUUUUGUUACUGUAAUUAACUGCACCAUGAUGUUUUGUUACUGUAACUAAUUGCACCAUGAUGUUUUGCU